CCUGGAAUUUGUGUGAGAGUAUAUUUCAUAAAUAUAUGUCAUUUUACAUGAAAAGAAAGUGGAUGUCUGAUAAUAAAAGAGAGGUUGAAUCAGAAAAUAUUCCAAGUACAAGUAGCGAACCUCAAGAGCAAAUAGAAGAAACAACUUGUGGUGAGCCUGUAUUAGAGAAGAGUGCUCAACAAAGACACCAACCUAAGAACAGAAAAAAAAUUCAUUGUGUUCUUCACCCAACUGUUUGAACUUUUUAAAUUCUGCCCAAUUUGCAAAUCAGAUGAUGUUCUUGUUGAGAUAUUGCAAAAUGGUUCAAUGGCAAAAGUGAAAGUUAGUUGUUCCAAUCAAAAAUGUGGAGCAGCCACAACAUGGAAUAGUCAACCAGUCAUGACUGGGACUUCCAUUCCUGCUGGAAAUUUGCUAUUGCCAUUUGCUAUUUUUACUGCUGGAACCUCUGCCACAAAGGUGAUCAGAGUUCUAAAGCAUGAAAUGACAUAAAAAUGAAAGGCCAUAAAAAUAUAAUGAACUGUCCAAAAAACCGAAAGUAACCAGUUUUUUAGGACCUGGUGGUAUGAGCCCAGUUAGUUGGGAUUCAGUGAAGUGUGAAUUGACUGCAUGGAAAGAAUAAA